rnacentral:misc_RNA from 1 species
GAUGAAGAACGCAGCGAAAUGCGAUACUUGGUGUGAAUUGCAGAAUCCCGUGAACCAUCGAGUCUUUGAACGCAAGUUGCGCCCGAAGCCAUUAGGCCGAGGGCACGCCUGCCUGGGCGUCACACAUCGUUGCCCCCCCAUCUACUCCUUCGGGAUUGCGGGGGGCGGAUGAUGGCCUCCCGUGCGCCUCGUCGCGCGGUUGGCAUAAAUGCCAAGUCCUCGGCGACGCACGCCACGACAAUCGGUGGUUGCGAAACCUCGGUUGCCCGUCGUGUGCGGUCGUCGCGCAUCGAGGGCUCGAAAAAAUUGCCGGGCUCCGGCUCGGCUUUCAACGCGUCCCCAGGUCAGGCGGGGUUACCCGCUGAAUUUAAGCAUAUCAAUAAGCGGAGGA